CCUAAACCUUGUGCUGUUUCCUGAAUCCUCUCUCAUCAAUUCCUUCCACUCAUUAGAGGGAACAAAAAUGUGGCUAAAACUUGCGUCCUUGCUAGCACUCCUCAAAGGAAUCCAGUCUCAAGUACAGUUGGUGGAGUCUGGAGGAGAUAUAAGAAGACCGGGAGAGUCCCUCCGUCUCUCCUGCCAAUCCUCUGGAUUCACCUUUAGUGACUACAGAAUGUACUGGGUGAGGCAGGCUCCUGGGAAAGGAUUGGAAUGGGUGUCAUUCAUAAGCUACAAUUCUGGUACUAUUAGAUACUCAGAGAAAGUGAAGGGGUGCUUCACCACCUCAAAGGACAAUGCCAAAAGCCAGCUGUAUCUGCAAAUAAACAGCCUCAAAGCUGAAGAUACAGCAGUCUAUUACUGUGCAAGAGACAUGUUGAGAGGAAGUGGAUCUGAAGCCAAGGAAAAGUCUUUCUGUUUUCAGAGUACCACUUCAUCUUGA